rnacentral:misc_RNA from 1 species
GAAAUGCGAUAAUUAAUGUGAAUUGCAGAAUUCAGUGAAUCAUCGAGUCUUUGAACGCACAUUGCGCCCCCUGGUAUUCCGGGGGGCAUGCCUGUCCGAGCGUCAUUGCUGCCCUCAAGCACGGCUUGUGUGUUGGGCUUCCGUCCCUGGCAACGGGGACGGGCCCAAAAGGCAGUGGCGGCACCAUGUCUGGUCCUCGAGCGUAUGGGGCUUUGUCACCCGCUCCCGUAGGUCCAGCUGGCAGCUAGCCUCGCAACCAAUCUUUUUAACCAGGUUGACCUCGGAUCAGGUAGGAAGACCCGCUGAACUUAAGC